UUUAAUUGGAGUGUUAUUUUCUGUGUCCCCAGCCGGCCGCUGCCUCUCUACCGUCAGACCUCCAAGCCACCGUUAGCUCGUGUAUUUGCUCGCGUUCAUAUCGCCAUGUGCUCAUGUAAUGUACCGAUUAGAGAGCGCUGACACGUCGGCGGUUGGGGAACGUCAGAGACACGAGAACGGAACACACGAAUCGGCCGGUCGCCACGGAGAUGAAAAGUGUUGACGUUCGAGGACAACUUGCGGUGUGUGUUUGUCUGCGCGUGUCCCCGUUUGUCAAUGGGUGUGUGCGCGCGCGCGCGUGCAGCAGGAUCUCCACGGUUCGGUGCCUCUGCCAAGGACAGGGAGCCCUCGCAUAAACUGUGUUUGUGUAACCGGGGGAAACCCCAGCCCCGCCCUGCAGAGCUUAGUUCAAAUGUCCUAAAACAGCAGGGAGGGGGGCUGUCAGGGAUGCCCCACAGUGUGUGUGUGCGUGUGUGUGUGUGUCUUGUGCAUGUGUUUGCUCCUUGUGCACUUCCCUAAAUGUGUCUUUAAAGUUUGCAUGCAGCUGGUAAACUCGUCGCCGUGGACGCCGAUUGUCGUAAUGAAAGAAAACACCACGUUGCCAGUGAAGCAUUAUUGUGAAGGAUCACCACUCGUGUUGUUUCUUUGUGAUUGUAGCACAAGUCUUGGAAGAAGAUUAAAAACAUGGUCCACUGGUCGCCGUUUGUCAUGUCCUUCAAGAAGAAAUACCCCUGGAUACAGCUGGCGGGACACGCAGGGAGCUUCAAGGCCGGAGCCAACGGACGAAUAU